rnacentral:snRNA from 1 species
AUUUUUGGAGAGGAAAAGGUAGGCCUAUAGGGGAGGUAGGAGGGAAAAAAAGUGUAGUAUCUGUUCUUACCAGCUUAAUAUCUGAUACGUCCUGCAUUGCACGACCAGAAUAUUAAACUCAUUUUUGGCUUAUGACGGAGCUCCACCUCUGUCGCGGGUUGGCUCGGCAUUGCAGUACCGUCGGGAUCGGCCCACCUAAU